UGGGGCGUGGCCAAGUGGUAAGGCAACGGGUUUUGGUCCCGCGAUUCGGAGGUUCGAAUCCUUCCGUCCCAG
rnacentral:tRNA from 11 species